UCCUGUCUGAAUAUGGGGGGACCAUCCUCCAAGGCUAAAUACUCCUGACUGACCGAUAGUGAACCAGUACCGUGAGGGAAAGGCGAAAAGAACCCCGGCGAGGGGAGUGAAAAAGAACCUGAAACCGUGUACGUACAAGCAGUGGGAGCACAGGUUUACCUGUGUGACUGCGUACCUUUUGUAUAAUGGGUCAGCGACUUAUAUUCUGUAGCAAGGUUAACCGUAUAGGGGAGCCGGAGGGAAACCGAGUCUUAAUUGGGCGUUAAGUUGCAGGGUAUAGACCCGAAACCCGGUGAUCUAGCCAUGGGCAGGUUGAAGGUUGGGUAACACUAACUGGAGGACCGAACCGACUAAUGUUGAAAAAUUAGCGGAUGACCUGUGGCUGGGGGUGAAAGGCCAAUCAAACCGGGAGAUAGCUGGUUCUCCCCGAAAGCUAUUUAGGUAGCGCCUCGUGAAUUCAUCUCCGGGGGUAGAGCACUGUUUCGGCUAGGGGGCCAUCCCGGCUUACCAACCCGAUGCAAACUGCGAAUACCGGAGAAUGUUAUCACGGGAGACACACGGCGGGUGCUAACGUCCGUCGUGAAGAGGGAAACAACCCAGACCGCCAGCUAAGGUCCCAAAGUCAUGGUUAAGUGGGAAACGAUGUGGGAAGGCCCAGACAGCCAGGAUGUUGGCUUAGAAGCAGCCAUCAUUUAAAGAAAGCGUAAUAGCUCACUGGUCGAGUCGGCCUGCGCGGAAGAUGUAACGGGGCUAAACCAU
rnacentral:rRNA from 1 species